GCAGUUGUGGCCUAAUGGUUAGAGAGUUGGGCUUAUAACCCUAAAGGUUGUGAGUUCAAGUCUCAGGUCUGGCA